CAAACUGGGAUUAGAUACCCCACUAUGCUUAGCCCUAAACCUAGAUAGUUAACCCAAACAAAACUAUCCGCCAGAGAACUACUAGCAACAGCUUAAAACUCAAAGGACUUGGCGGUGCUUUAUAUCCCUCUAGAGGAGCCUGUUCCAUAAUCGAUAAACCCCGAUAAACCUCACCAUCUCUUGCUAAUUCAGCCUAUAUACCGCCAUCUUCAGCAAACCCUAAAAAGGAAGAAAAGUAAGCACAAGUAUCUUAACAUAAAAAAGUUAGGUCAAGGUGUAGCCCAUGAGAUGGGGAAGUAAUGGGCUACAUUUUCUACAACUAGAACAUCCACGAAAAUCCUUAUGAAAUUAAGUAUUAAAGGAGGAUUUAGUAGUAAAUUCGAGAAUAGAGAGCUCGAUUGAAUCGGGCCAUGAAGCACGCACACACCGCCCGUCACCCUC
rnacentral:rRNA from 1 species